UACAGAGGUCCCGAGCGUUGUUCGGAUUCACUGGGCGUAAAGGGUGCGUAGGUGGCGAGGUAAGUCGGAUGUGAAAUCUCCAAGCUCAACUUGGAAAUGGCAUUGGAAACUACCUUGCUAGAGGUUUUGAGGGGGGACUGGAAUUCUCGGUGUAGCAGUGAAAUGCGUAGAUAUCGAGAGGAACACCAGUGGCGAAGGCGAGUCCCUGGAAAACACCUGACACUGAGGCACGAAAGCUAGGGGAGCAAACAGG
rnacentral:rRNA from 1 species